UACGUAGGGAGCGAGCGUUGUCCGGAAUUACUGGGUGUAAAGGGAGCGUAGGCGGGGAUGCAAGUUGGGUGUCAAAACUACCGGCUCAACUGGUAGUCGCACUCAAAACUGCAGCUCUUGAGUGAAGUAGAGGCAGGCGGAAUUCCUAGUGUAGCGGUGAAAUGCGUAGAUAUUAGGAGGAACACCAGUGGCGAAGGCGGCCUGCUGGGCUUUUACUGACGCCGAGGCUCGAAAGUGUGGGGAGCAAACAGG
rnacentral:rRNA from 1 species